UACGAAGGGGGCUAGCGUUGCUCGGAAUCACUGGGCGUAAAGGGUGCGUAGGCGGGUCUUUAAGUCAGGGGUGAAAUCCUGGAGCUCAACUCUAGAACUGCCUUUGAUACUGAAGAUCUUGAGUUCGGGAGAGGUGAGUGGAACUGCGAGUGUAGAGGUGAAAUUCGUAGAUAUUCGCAAGAACACCAGUGGCGAAGGCGGCUCACUGGCCCGAUACUGACGCUGAGGCACGAAAGCGUGGGGAGCAAACAGG
rnacentral:rRNA from 1 species